UUUUUUUUAAUUUGCACAUGUCAUUUUUUUUAUUAAAUAAACUAAAAAUUAAAAAAAUAAUAAUAAAUUCUUUUCUAAUUUCCCCUUCAUCCCUAUCACAAUAACUUUCAUCAUUCAACAAGAACAACAACAUCAACACCACCAAGAACAACAACAACAUCAACAAAAUCAUCAACACCACCAAGAACAACAAUCCAAAAAGAACCCAAUUUUUUUUCUUCAAAAAAUCAAUCUCGGUAAACUCAGAAACAUAAUCAUAAAUUUCUUUUGUUCUUCUAUUCUUCAUCCCUUUGCAACAACUCAAUUUCUUCCUAACCCAAAAACAUAAUUCUUCUUUCCAAUUCUUCAUCCCAUCAAUUCAAUCCCUAACCCAUAAAUUCAAAAACCCAGUUUCUGCCUUUAUAGGAAAUCCGGUUCCUAGUUCAUGCCUUUGUUCUUCAUCAAUCAUUUGUUUCGACGAAUUCGGCGGAUUUCUAGGUUUUAUUUUAGAG
rnacentral:lncRNA from 1 species